rnacentral:lncRNA from 1 species
AUCUCAAGUGGUAAAAGUGGAAUACACGGAGUGUGCAGACAGAGCGAACAGUAUUUGGUAGGGUUCAGGAAGCACUCUGUUAAGUCGUCAAAUCGAUGAACAGCCUGAUAAUAACGGACCUUGACGCUAACUAUCGCUGUUCGUUCAACAUAGCUCAGGGUGUCCGGAAGUGUUGACUAUGCAAUUGAUGUUGGCGCUACAUUGAGUUUACCGUCAUAAUGCAACGAAGAAAGACGGAUCUAAAAUGUAACCAUAAAUAACCAUGGCAAUUCCGAUGGCUCUGGUUCCACAACGGCAUUCGGAUCAGUGAUAUCGAGCUCUGCGGUCAGUAGCCCCUCAAUCCGAG